AGAAGAAAGCCCCCCGGGGGGGGGGCGGGGAAGGAGGGGAGAUAAAUACUGGAACUUAAAUGGCUGAAAUGCUUCGGACAACACAAAGAGGAGCAGAAGAAGUAGUCAGAGUGAAACUAAAAACCAAGGAGUAGCUGAAGCCCUGAGAGCAGCACUCUGCUGUGAAUGAUCAGAAUUCAUCGUUUUGACAACAACGCCCCUUCUUCUCUCCUCAAUCAUUCCCACUCCGGCUUCCUAUCUCCUGCCCAUCAUAUUUCAGAUCUUUGAGUGUUUGGAUGCGAAUAUGUCAGCUAAAGGGAUGAGAAUAUCAGUAAGUACAGAGGAGGAACUUGGCAGCAGUAUGGAGAGGAAAGAUGCCGCCGAUGACUUUGGAGAACCUGUAUACCAGAGGAGCAUGGUUUUUUGCUGUAGUAUUUACUCCAACAGAGGUAGAUGAGAAGAAUAAGCGUGAGGAUGUGUAUCUACAAACAGUGUAUCUUAAAAAGUGCUUAACCACAGGGAAUGUAUGAGGAUCACCUUUUGCAAUUUUUUUUUGAUCGGGGUUCAAAACUCAUUUUUAGUUGUUUUAAUCAGCACAAAACGAAUACACAUGCUCUCAAAUUAUUUUUUAUAUAUCAUUUUCUAGGUGAU